rnacentral:tRNA from 2 species
GCGGUCGUGGCGGAAUUGGUAGACGCGCAACGUUGAGGUCGUUGUGGGAUAACAUCCCGUGGAAGUUCGAGUCUUCUCGACCGCACCA